UUUUAGCACGCUUUGCAGCCCGACCUGAAUGGAGCUCUUUUUAUGAGGAGGAACGACGAGUAAAAAAGCGGGAAUGGAGGGCGGAAAUGCUG
rnacentral:misc_RNA from 1 species